rnacentral:rRNA from 1 species
AUUGAACGCUGGCGGCAGGCCUAACACAUGCAAGUCGAGCGAGAGGCGGACGGGGGAGUAAUGUAUGGGGACUGCCCGAUAGAGGGGGAUAACUACUGGAAACGGUGGAUAAUACCGCAUACGAACGGAUAAGCCAUAUGGGAUUAGCUAGUAGGUGGGGUAAAGGCUCACCUAGGCGACGAUCCCUAGCUGGUCUGAGAGGAUGAUCAGCCACACUGGGACUGAGACACGGCCCAGACUCCUACGGAGGCAGCAGUGGGGAAUAUUGCACAAUGGGCGCAAGCCUGAUCCAGCCAUGCCGCGUGUCUGAAGAAGGCCUUAGGGUUGUAAAGUACUUUCAGCGGGGAGGCGUUACCCGCAGAAGAAGCACCGGCUAACUCCGUGCCAGCAGCCGCGGUAAUUC